rnacentral:rRNA from 1 species
CCUACGGGGGGCAGCAGUGGGGGAUAUUGCACAAUGGGGGGAACCCUGAUGCAGCGACGCCGCGUGGGUGAAGAAGCGCCUCGGCGCGUAAAGCCCUGUUAGCAGGGAAGAAAAAGACGGUACGUGUAGAAGAAGCCCCGGCUAAAUACGGGCCACGAGCCGCGGUAAUAAGGAGGGGGCAGGCGUUAUCCGGAUUUACGGGGGGUAAAGGGGGCGCAGGCGGGGAAGUAAGGCCGGAGUGAAAGCCCGGGGUCCAACCCCGGGACUGCUGUUGGAACUGCGUGGCUGGAGUGCAGGAGGGGCAGGCGGAAUGCCUGGUGUAGCGGUGAAAUGCGUAGAUAUCAGGAGGAACACCGGUGGCGAAGGCGGCCUGCUGGACUGCAACUGACGUUGAGGCCCGAAAGCGUGGGGAGCAAACAGGAUUAGAUACCCGUGUAGUC